rnacentral:rRNA from 1 species
UUAAAAGGUCUCCCUUGGGUGACAGCGGAGGGUCAUUACCGAGUUUACAACUCCCAAACCCAAUGUGAACGUUACCAAACUGUUGCCUCGGCGGGGUCACGCCCCGGGUGCGUCGCAGCCCCGGAACCAGGCGCCCGCCGGAGGAACCAACCAAACUCUUUCUGUAGUCCCCUCGCGGACGUAUUUCUUACAGCUCUGAGCAAAAAUUCAAAAUGAAUCAAAACUUUCAACAACGGAUCUCUUGGUUCUGGCAUCGAUGAAGAACGCAGCGAAAUGCGAUAAGUAAUGUGAAUUGCAGAAUUCAGUGAAUCAUCGAAUCUUUGAACGCACAUUGCGCCCGCCAGUAUUCUGGCGGGCAUGCCUGUCCGAGCGUCAUUUCAACCCUCGAACCCCUCCGGGGGAUCGGCGUUGGGGAUCGGGACCCCUCACACGGGUGCCGGCCCCGAAAUACAGUGGCGGUCUCGCCGCAGCCUCUCCUGCGCAGUAGUUUGCACAACUCGCACCGGGAGCGCGGCGCGUCCACGUCCGUAAAACACCCAACUUUCUGAAAUGUUGACCUCGGAUCAGGUAGGAAUACCCGCUGAACUUAAGCAUAUCAAUAAGCGGAGGA